GACGAACGCUGGCGGCGCGCUUAACACAUGCAAGUCGAGCGAGAACCAGGGCUUCGGCCCUGGGGACAGCGGCGAACGGGUGAGUAACACGUGGGUAAUCUGCCCUCGGUUCUGAGAUAGCCCGGGGAAACCCGGAUUAAUACCGGAUAGCCUCUAGAGCCCUCGGGCUCGUGAGAAAAGGUAGCUUCGGCCUCCGACCGAGGAGGAGCCUGCGGCGGAUUAGCUUGUUGGCGGGGUAACGGCCCACCAAGGCGACGAUCCGUAGCUGGUCUGAGAGGACGAUCAGCCACACUGGGACUGAGACACGGCCCAGACUCCUACGGGAGGCAGCAGUGGGGAAUCUUGCGCAAUGGGCGAAAGCCUGACGCAGCGACGCCGCGUGAGGGAAGAAGGCCUUCGGGUUGUAAACCUCUUUCAGGAGGGACGAAGCCACUCGGGUUAAUAGCCCAGAGGGUGACGGUACCUCCAGAAGAAGCCCCGGCUAACUACGUGCCAGCCGCCGCAGUAACAC
rnacentral:rRNA from 1 species